rnacentral:rRNA from 1 species
UACGAAGGGGGCUAGCGUUGCUCGGAAUCACUGGGCGUAAAGCGCACGUAGGCGGCUUCUUAAGUCAGGGGUGAAAUCCUGGAGCUCAACUCCAGAACUGCCUUUGAUACUGAGGAGCUUGAGUCCGGGAGAGGUGAGUGGAACUGCGAGUGUAGAGGUGAAAUUCGUAGAUAUUCGCAAGAACACCAGUGGCGAAGGCGGCUCACUGGCCCGGUACUGACGCUGAGGUGCGAAAGCG